UUUGCAUCAUAUUGUGCUAAAAAAAAAAGAAAAAGAAGUAGGUGCAAACAAUAAAAACAAUGGUCAAAAUUAACAAUACCCAACAUUAUUUUUCAAGUGGACGAUCCACCCCAACGAUUCAGGUUUUGAAACACCGGCUACUAUCUCAUGUGUCAUUAUGAAACUCAUGAUUUAUUGCCACCAUAUUGUCCCUCCAAAUUUAAUUUUAUCUUUGAAUUCUAAUACCCUUGAUGACUGGCUACUAUUAUUUAUGUCAUUAUGAAACUCAUGAUUUAUCGCCACCAUAUUGUCCAUCCAUAUUUAAUUUUAUCUCUGAAUUUUAAUGCCUUGGACGACACUAUCCCAGUACACCGAGGUCUCACCAGAUGGCAUGAAGGAAUAUUUCAUCUAUAAUUUUUGUGAAUCAAUUUACAAGGGAAGAAAAUGAUUUUGACGAAUCAAUUUACGAGGGAAGAAAAUUAUUUUGACGUUUAAUUGAUUUGGAAUUUCAAUUUAAUUAAAG
rnacentral:lncRNA from 1 species